rnacentral:rRNA from 1 species
CCCCAUGUUUUCCAACUCUGUUGCCUCGGGGGUGACCCGGCCCUCUUGGGCUCCGGGGCCCUCGGUGGACCAAUCAACCCUGCAUCUGUGCGUCUGAGUCAAUAUUGAAUUAAUCAAAACUUUUAACAACGGAUCUCUUGGUUCUGGCAUCGAUGAAGAACGCAGCGAAAUGCGAUAAGUAAUGUGAAUUGCAGAAUUCAGUGAAUCAUCGAAUCUUUGAACGCACAUUGCGCCCCUCGGUAUUCCGGGGGGCAUGCCUGUUCGAGCGUCAUUACACCACUCAAGCCUAGCUUGGUUUUGGGCGUCGCGGUCCGCCGCGCGCCCUAAUGUCUCCGGCUGAGCCGUCUGUCUCGAAGCGUUGUGAUCAACAAUCCGCUUGUGAGUUCGGGCUGGCUUGUUCGCCGUAAAACCCCCCAUUUUACAAGGUUGACCUCGGAUCAGGUAGG